AGAGUUUGAUCCUGGCUCAGAACGAACUUUGGCGGCGCGUUUUAAGCAUGCAAGUCGAGCGGCAAGGGGGGCUUCGGCCCCCCCUAGAGCGGCGGACGGGUGAGUAACACGUGGACAAUCUGCCCCCCGGUUCGGGAUAGCCCAGGGAAACCUGGAUCAAUACCGGAUGCGAGGGCGGCCGCAUAUGCGGCUGUUCGGAAAGGCGCUUCGGCGCCGCCGGGGGAUGAGUCCGCGUCCCAUUAGCUAGACGGCGGGGUAAGGGCCCACCGUGGCGAUGAUGGGUAGCCGGCCUGAGAGGGUGUACGGCCACAUUGGAACUGAGACACGGUCCAGACUCCUACGGGAGGCAGCAGCUAAGAAUCUUCCGCAAUGGGCGAAAGCCUGACGGAGCGACGCCGCGUGAACGAAGAAGGCCGUGAGGUUGUAAAGUUCUUUUCGGGAGGGGGAACGAGCCUGCCAGGCAAUGGGCGGGCGCUGACGUGAAUCCCGGAAUAAGCCCCGGCUAACUACGUGCCAGCAGCCGCGGUAACACGUAGGGGGCGAGCGUUGUUCGGAAUCAUUGGGCGUAAAGGGCGUGCAGGCGGCCGCCAAAGUCCGGCGUGAAAGACCCAGGCUCAACCUGGGGGGUGCGCCGGAUACUGGGCGGCUUGAGUACAGGAGGGGACGGCGGAAUUCCAGGUGUAGGGGUGAAAUCUGUAGAUAUCUGGAGGAACACCGAUGGCGAAGGCAGCCGUCUGGCCAUGUACUGACGCUGAGGCGCGAAGGUGCGGGGAGCAAACAGGUUUAGAUACCCUGGUAGUCCGCACAGUAAACGAUGUGCACCAGGCGGCGGGGGCAACCUCGCUGCCGCAGUUAACGCAUUAAGUGCACCGCCUGGGGAGUAUGCCCGCAAGGGUGAAACUCAAAGGAAUUGACGGGGGCCCGCACAAGCGGUGGAGCAUGUGGUUUAAUUCGAUGAUACGCGAGAAACCUUACCAGGGCUUGACAUGGAGCUAAAGGCCCUAGAGAUAGGGAGAUAGUUAUAGCUCACACAGGUGGUGCAUGGUUGUCGUCAGCUCGUGUCGUGAGAUGUUGGGUUAAGUCCCGCAACGAGCGCAACCCUUGUCGUUAGUUACCAUCAUUUAGUUGGGGACUCUAGCGAGACUGCCGGUGACAAACCGGAGGAAGGUGGGGAUGACGUCAAAUCAUCAUGCCCCUUAUGACCUGGGCUACACACGUACUACAAUGGCGAGUACAACGGGAAGCGAUGUGGUGACACAAAGCGGAUCUCUUAAAACUCGUCUCAGUUCGGAUCGAAGUCUGCAACUCGACUUCGUGAAGUCGGAAUCGCUAGUAAUCGCGGAUCAGCAUGCCGCGGUGAAUACGUUCUCGGGCCUUGUACACACCGCCCGUCAA
rnacentral:rRNA from 1 species